UACGGAGGGGGCAAACGUUGCUCGGAAUCACUGGGCGUAAAGCGAGCGUAGGCGGCUAUGUAAGUCGGGUGUGAAAGCCCUCGGCUCAACCGAGGAAGUGCAUUCGAAACUGCAUAGCUUGAGUACUGGAGAGGGUAACGGAAUUCCCGGUGUAGAGGUGAAAUUCGUAGAUAUCGGGAGGAACACCAGAGGCGAAGGCGGUUACCUGGACAGAUACUGACGCUGAGGCUCGAAAGCGUGGGGAGUAAACAGG
rnacentral:rRNA from 1 species